UGCCUAUUAUGGACAGUUGCUAUGUCAAGGGCGAUUCAGACUAAGAGGCUGAAACUAUCCUACUUUACCAGCUUAAUCCACUUACACUCUUUAGCCUGUGUGUAUGUCUGUCUGUGUGUGUGUGUGUUUGUGCUAACAUUGUCUAGGAAUAUGAUUGUGUAAAAUAUUGAGAAAGUUACUUAGUAUUUAUAUUUAUCCAUGUGUCAGUACUAUUUUGAGUUUGAAUGUUUAAUCUCUAUGUGUGAGUCAUUGUGUGCAUCAUCUUUUCGUCUCUUUUCUCUUUCAUUCUCUCUCUCUCUCUAUCUGUGUGUGUGUGUGUGUGAGUGUGAGUGUUUUAUUCUCUAUGGACCCUUUGCUGCCUAGCAGCCGUGUUGCCACCCUCUCAUGGGGAAUUACAGGUUCAGCCUCACCACACACACACACACACACACACACACUCACCCUCACGCACACACACACACAAAUACAACGCCAAACUCUUUGUUAAGCACAGACUAACCAUGUGCAUUAUACAGAACAAUACUGGGGAGCUCGCUGUGCCUGAAACCAGACUAGCAGCACUGCAACAAGAUUAACAGACUGACACACGCACACACACACACACACACACACACACACACAGUUCCUCAUCAGCGGCUCUAAGAAGCUAAAGAACAACAACAAGCCGGUUGAAAGAGAGACAGAAGGCAGAAGGGGAGACAAGAAAGAGCAGGGUUGGACACCCUGGGAAAUACACACACACACACACACACACAUUAAUGUGUGUGUGUCAUGGGAUUGAAACUCAUUAUUUGAAGGAACCAUCUCUACUUCCUGAGAGGCAGAGAGGAGGAGGAGGAGACAAUAUGCUGAGCAACCUUUUCACCAUGCUGAGACAGUUCACUGAGAGCAACUUCCAGUCAUCGGCCAUGUUUGAUGUUACCGAGACGACAACGGACGCAGAGGGUGGGAGUUCAGAGAGCACUUUGGGCUCGUCCGUCACGGCCUGCAAGAAGGUACACAACUCAGUGUGUGUGUGUGUGUGUGUGUGUGACUGAUGUUUGCAUGAAUUAAUAGUGAGAUGGAUUAUUUGCCUUUCAUAAACUUAACAACAGGGCAGUAUAAAGAAAUGGAAAGAGUGAGAGACACACACAGUACAAGAGAGAGAUGGAGAGAAAGUGUGACAUGGAGAGAGUGAAAGACACAGAGAGAGCGAGAGAGGGCGACAGUGCUAGUUUGUGUGUUUAUGUGUGUGUGUGUGUUUGUGUGUGAGAGAGGGAGAGUGAUUGUUUGUGUGUGUUCAUGUGUGUGUAUGUUUAGGUGUGUGUGUGUGUGUGUGUGUGAGAGAGAGAGGGAGAGAGAGAUAUAUAUAGAGAGACAGAGAAGCUAAGUGUUGCUCUGGCUGUGUGCCACAUGCUUGCAUAGAGGUUCUCUGCUAACACACAGGUCAGUGCAGCCUGAGCUCUCACAACCCUGGGUCAACGCAUUACUUUGACAUCAGCAAAGGGCC
ensembl:lncRNA